UAGAAUACAACUUGCUUUCUGCUGCUUAUUAAGCCUCAUAAUGUUUCUGAACUUCGAUGGAAAUUAUAACGUUAGCCAAUGCUAACGUAAGCUAGGUGAUGAAGCAUACACAUAGACUCUAGCUAUGGAUGAUGACAGCUUAGUUAGCCGUAUAAUAUGUUAGCUUGCUAGCUAAAAAUAACCAAACGUUUCUGGCAUAGCAGAUUUGUCUUAAUUCUGUCAAAGCUACUAACAUCCCCGGGCUCUCCGUUCAGGAUCAUCUUCUCCUCAAACACCAUGAUUUUGGUGCUCUUGACCUUAAAUGACCGGCUG